GCCAGAGCCUUCAUCAGCAGCAGGUUGUCCUGAUCUCUUGUUCUUACAUCUUUUAUAUAUCAGGACACCACCCACUGCAGCAGCUACAAAAAAUAGUGCAACUGC